CAAACAGAUUCCAGGGGCAGACAGCUGGAUCUCGCGAACACCCGGGACGCGUCCCUCCCGCCGUCUAGAGCAAGAGACGGGUAGCAGGCCUCCACCGCUACGGACGGCUCCCGGGCUCCCAUUGGAGGAGUGUCCUCCCCUCUUCCUUGGGAUUGGCUGGAGAUGGAAACGCUUUAUUUUUACCCUCAAAGACUGGAUCCAAGCCGAAGAAAACUCCGCCCCCUCGGGGGUCUUUGAUUGAUUUCCGAGCCAAGCCAACCCUUUAAUAGGAUUGGUCAGCAGGAGAGGGCUCGUUAUUUCCCUUUGCUACUCUAUUCGACAGGGCUUCCUGAGGUCAUCAAAAACAAGGAAAAGCCUGAGAAACUGUCAUAGCCAAGAGGAGCAUAUGAAGACAUGAUGACUAAAUCUAAUGUGG
rnacentral:lncRNA from 1 species